UACGAAGGGGGCUAGCGUUGCUCGGAAUCACUGGGCGUAAAGCGCGCGUAGGCGGAUUGUUAAGUCAGGGGUGAAAUCCUGGAGCUCAACUCCAGAACUGCCUUUGAUACUGGCGAUCUCGAGUCCGGGAGAGGUGAGUGGAACUGCGAGUGUAGAGGUGAAAUUCGUAGAUAUUCGCAAGAACACCAGUGGCGAAGGCGGCUCACUGGCCCGGUACUGACGCUGAGGUGCGAAAGCGUGGGGAGCAAACGGG
rnacentral:rRNA from 1 species